rnacentral:rRNA from 1 species
GAUGAACGCUAGCUACAGGCUUAACACAUGCAAGUCGAGGGGCAGCAUGUCGGUUGCUUGCAACCGACGAUGGCGACCGGCGCACGGGUGAGUAACGCGUAUCCAACCUACCCUUGUCCAUCGGAUAACCCGUCGAAAGGCGGACUAACACGAUAUGCGGUUCUCAGCAGGCAUCUAACGAGAACGAAAUGUGAAGGAGAAGGAUGGGGAUGCGUCUGAUUAGCGUGUUGCCGGGGUAACGGCCCACCAAGGCGACGAUCAGUAGGGGUUCUGAGAGGAAGGUCCCCCACAUUGGAACUGAGACACGGUCCAAACUCCUAGGGGAGGCAGCAGUGAGGAAUAUUGGUCAAUGGACGAGAGUCUGAACCAGCCAAGUAGCGUGCAGGAAGACGGCCCUAUGGGUUGUAAACUGCUUUUAUAGGGGGAUAAAGUGUGCCACGUGUGGCAUAUUGCAGGUACCCUAUGAAUAAGGACCGGCUAAUUCCGUGCCAGCCGCCGCAGUAACAC